UCCGGUUUGACACCGGCAGUCUCGCUAGAGUACUGGCUUUCGCCGAGCAACUAACGACAGGGGUUGCGCUCGUUAUAGGACUUAACCCGACGCUUCACAGCACGAGCUGACGACAGCCAUGCAGCACCUGUGCUGGUUCCGGUCUUGCGACUGUGGCCCUACUUUCAUAGGGUUAAUACCAGCAUGUCAAGCCCAGGUAAGGUUCUUCGCGUUGCCUCGAAUUAAGCAACAUGCUCCACCGCUUGUGUGAGCCCCCGUCAAUUCAUUUGAGUUUUAGCCUUGCGACCGUACUCCCCAGGCGGUAUGCUUAACGGUUUUCCUACGACCGAUACGGCGUCAAAACCGCACCGGUCCAGCAUACAUCGUUUACGGCGUGGACUAC
rnacentral:misc_RNA from 1 species